GCCCACCGGGUCUUGUAACGUACACCUUGUUAGUUGAAAAAUGAAAAGGAGAUUUUGUUACCUUGUCUGCAUCUUACAUCGAAUAGUUGUCUGUCGAACUUCUUUAUUCUUCUUUCUUCUCUCUUCCUCCUUUUCUUCUUUUCUUUUUCACGUCGUCCUAAGGUCAUCGAUGACCUCUUUUAUUCGUGUUGGAUUGUUAUUUGCCGAGCUCCUUUU
rnacentral:lncRNA from 1 species